rnacentral:ribozyme from 1 species
UCAGGAAAGCUGCUAAGCAAGGAGAUAAGUGUGCGUUGGAUUUUCUGGGUUCCAUGUGAUAAUUUCAAUCUUCAGAAUUUAAAAAAUUAAAAUGGCAGUAAUAUCUAAUAUCUA